AUACGGAGGAUCCGAGCGUUAUCCGGAUUUAUUGGGUUUAAAGGGUGCGCAGGCGGCCAUUUAAGUCAGCGGUUAAAUCGUGGGGCUCAACCCCAUUCUGCCGUUGAUACUGGGUGGCUUGAUUGCGGUCGAGGUUGGCGGAAUUCGUUGUGUAGCGGUGAAAUGCAUAGAUAUGACGAAGAACACCGAUUGCGUAGGCAGCUGACCAGACCGCAAAUGACGCUCAUGCACGAAAGUGCGGGGAUCGAACAGGAUUAGAUACCCUGGUAGUCCGCACAGUAAACGAUGAAUACUUGUUUUCGGCGAUAUAAUGUCGGAGGCAAAGCGAAAGCGAUAAGUAUUCCACCUGGGGAGUACGCCGGCAACGGUGAAACUAAAAGGAAUUGACGGGG
rnacentral:rRNA from 1 species